CACAAAGCCAGGAAGCAGAUUUGCAUAAGGAUGUCCCUUCUGAGGAUAAGAGAGGGCCAAAGACUCCACCCCCAGCUGUGGGCUCAGAGGCAGAGCUCAGGGCACCUCCACCAUGGCCUGGACCCCCCUCCUGCUGCCCUUCCUCUCUCUCUGCACAGGUUAUGUGGCCUCUUCUGCACUGACUCAGCCCUCCAUGGUGUCCGUGUCCUUGGGACAGACGGCCAGGACCACCUGCCAAGGAGGCAGCUUAGGUAGCUAUGGUGCUAACUGGUACCAGCAGAAGCCAGGCCGGGCCCCUGUGCUGGUCAUCUAUGAGGACAGCAAGAGACCCUCAGGGAUCCCUGAGUGGUUUUCUGGCUCCAAGUCAGGGGGCCCAGCCACCCUGACCAUCAGCGGGGCCCAGGCCGAGGAUGAGGCCGACUAUUACUGUCAGUCAGCAGACAGCAGUGGUAAUGCUCACAGUGACACAGGCAGAUGGGGAAGUGGGGCACAAACCCCCUCCAUCUGUGUCACCCUCUCCUCCAGCCCCAGGAGGCCUGUGGACAAAGCAGUGACAGGUCUGGCCCGGUUCCUCCAGAUCUGA